UGGAAAGAGGAGUGGCGGACGGGUGAGUAACACGUGGGUAACCUGCCCAUCAGAGGGGGAUAACACUUGGAAACAGGUGCUAAUACCGCAUAACAGUUUAUGCCGCAUGGCAUAAGAGUGAAAGGCGCUUUCGGGUGUCGCUGAUGGAUGGACCCGCGGUGCAUUAGCUAGUUGGUGAGGUAACGGCUCACCAAGGCCACGAUGCAUAGCCGACCUGAGAGGGUGAUCGGCCACACUGGGACUGAGACACGGCCCAGACUCCUACGGGAGGCAGCAGUAGGGAAUCUUCGGCAAUGGACGAAAGUCUGACCGAGCAACGCCGCGUGAGUGAAGAAGGUUUUCGGAUCGUAAAACUCUGUUGUUAGAGAAGAACAAGGACGUUAGUAACUGAACGUCCCCUGACGGUAUCUAACCAGAAAGCCACGGCUAACUACGUGCCAGCAGCCGCGGUAAUACGUAGGUGGCAAGCGUUGUCCGGAUUUAUUGGGCGUAAAGCGAGCGCAGGCGGUUUCUUAAGUCUGAUGUGAAAGCCCCCGGCUCAACCGGGGAGGGUCAUUGGAAACUGGGAGACUUGAGUGCAGAAGAGGAGAGUGGAAUUCCAUGUGUAGCGGUGAAAUGCGUAGAUAUAUGGAGGAACACCAGUGGCGAAGGCGGCUCUCUGGUCUGUAACUGACGCUGAGGCUCGAAAGCGUGGGGAGCAAACAGGAUUAGAUACCUGGUAGUCCACGCCGUAAACGAUGAGUGCUAAGUGUUGGAGGGUUUCCGCCCUUCAGUGCUGCAGCAAACGCAUUAAGCACUCCGCCUGGGGAGUACGACCGCAAGGUUG
rnacentral:rRNA from 1 species